GAUGAACGCUGGCGGCGUGCCUAAUACAUGCAAGUCGAGCGAAUGGAUUAAGAGCUUGCUCUUAUGAAGUUAGCGGCGGACGGGUGAGUAACACGUGGGUAACCUGCCCAUAAGACUGGGAUAACUCCGGGAAACCGGGGCUAAUACCGGAUAACAUUUUGAACCGCAUGGUUCGAAAUUGAAAGGCGGCUUCGGCUGUCACUUAUGGAUGGACCCGCGUCGCAUUAGCUAGUUGGUGAGGUAACGGCUCACCAAGGCAACGAUGCGUAGCCGACCUGAGAGGGUGAUCGGCCACACUGGGACUGAGACACGGCCCAGACUCCUACGGGAGGCAGCAGUAGGGAAUCUUCCGCAAUGGACGAAAGUCUGACGGAGCAACGCCGCGUGAGUGAUGAAGGCCUUCGGGUUGUAAAACUCUGUUGUUAGGGAAGAACAAGUGCUAGUUGAAUAAGCUGGCACCUUGACGGUACCUAACCAGAAAGCCACGGCUAACUACGUGCCAGCAGCCGCAGUAA
rnacentral:rRNA from 1 species